UGUACACUCAGUGACCAUUUUAUUGGGUAAAGUGGUCACAGAGAGUAUAUGCACGGUUCUAGUUGGUUUCAAAAGGACAACCUCUGUCCUGAGCCUUUCGAAAACCAGGUGCUAAACUGACCUAGCUUUGCUUUAGCAGCGACUUAGAUUAGGGCGCUUUGCACAAAACUCUGUGGAGGUCUUGAUCUUGGUCCCGGUCCGAGUCCGAGCCAGUUCCUGCGGCGGACCCUGGGGGGCGCUGUCCGGCUGCAGCUCAAUAGCCGGUAGCGAUAACCACGCGUUACUGAAGGGAGUUACAGACUAGAAAAACUUAAAAGGAAAUUGCCAAACGACGGGCAGCUGUUGGCUCUCGCGCAGGAGGACUUAAGACUGAAAAAAUACUGGAGCGUAUGGAGGCAACCGACGGGGAGCUCACAGGCAGUAUGACCCGGCUGACGACGAACAUUGAAAAACUGACUAACUCUGUUGCAUUAAUAAAGCACCUUGUUAAAUGUAUAAAA